UAAAAAAAAGAAAAAAAGAAAUGGAAUAAGAUGAAGAGUACCAAUUACCACAAACAGUAUUAGGUCAAACUUUUGGGUUAUUUGAGAGCAUGGUGAGCAGGAGAUAGACGUUCUAACUCCUGGGUACCAGGAAAACACUUCAUUUUGCCCCAGGAUGGGGGCUUUGGGGGAGAG